GAUAGAUAUGACGUUCGGAGACGAAAUCUUAUAACAGGUAUAGUAGGUUGCACUAUGGCAACUUAUAAUGAAAUUGAAGAUAGAGAAUAAAAAGCAUCAUAUACUCAAGUAAUUAUCUCAAAUCACAUAUUUUGCUGGGUAACUAUCGUACAAAAUCUACUUGUAGUUUUCCUCUGAUAGAUGAACCAAACUUCAAUAUUCAUACUGAGGGGUCCAAUAGGCAUCUAAAUGGUAAUGAUUUCAAGAUUGGUGAACCUUAGGUAGUUACCAGAGUAACAAUUCAUCCAUACAGGUAAUGCAAUAGACCAUAAACUGCUUCAAUAUUCUACAACCGUAGACAAAUGUCAAGGCCUUACCUAGAGAUGAUGUGUGCAUUAAAGCAAUAACUAGGAUCCACCAUAUCUAAAAUGGAAACAACUAAUAUUUGAAGUUUUGAACAAUUACGUACCCAUUAGUAAUGGUGAAUAAUGUCAACCAACGCAAUAGAGAGACGAUUUGCUGUAUCCACUGCGAGGUGAAAUACUGCAGCAACAUGGAGAUCUUCUCCCAACACGACUAUAACUCCUGAAACAAGAUGCUAGUAUUGUGAUAUCUGAUAUCAAAUCUAUAAGAAAGAAAGCCUCAAAUAUAUAGUAAGUAAAUGGAUUGAAGAAAAUGAUUUUGAAAGAUCGAGAAGAUUUUUAGAGUUUGAAUAUUGUUGAGGGAAGAAAUUAGGGAAUUUUUAUGGAAAUAAUGAGGAAUUUAUCAUUGAAAAUGAAUAUUAACAUAAAAUUCUUGGAGAAUUCUAUGGAUGUUCGAAAAGUGAUUUGGGUUAUUGAUGAUGAUUGUGAGGUUUCAAGCUAUUUUGAAAUGGAUUUUGAGGGUAAUUAGAUUAUGACAUAAUUGGGGAUUAGGUGGCUGUAAUUGGAGGAUUUAAGAUGUUGGUUGAGCAAAUUAC
rnacentral:lncRNA from 1 species